rnacentral:rRNA from 1 species
ACUUAAAAACUAGCUGAACAAUAUACUUAAUAUAAAUAUACAUAAAUGUAUAAAUAAACUAACGAAAAUAAUUAAACCAUUCUCUUUUCUCUAGUAUAGGUGAUAGAAAUAGAAAUACAAGCUAUAGAUAAAGUACCGCAAGGGAACGUUGAAAGAGAAAUGAUACAAAUCAGUAAAGUAUAAAAAAGCAGAGAUAAAAACUCGUACCUUUUGCAUCAUGCUUUAGCAAGAACCUACNAAGCAAGACGUUUUCUAGUUUAAAAUCCCGAAACUAAGUGAGCUACUCCAGGACAGCCUAAUAGAGGGCAAACACAUCUCUGUGGCAAAAGAGUGUGAAGAUCUUUGAGUAGAGGUGAUAAGCCUACCGAACUUAGUUAUAGCUGGUUGUCUGAGAAUUAGAUUGAAGUUUAGCCUUUAAUUUUUUACAUUUAAACCUUAUAUAUAUCAUAUUAAUACAAGAAAAUUAAAGAGUUACUCACAAGAGGUUCAGCUCUUGUGAGAAAGGAUACAACCUUAUCAGGUGUUUAAUGAACAUAUAGAAUAAAGUUAAUGUUUUAGUGGGCUUAAAAGCAGCCAUCCAAGAAAAAAGCGUUAAAGCUUAAACAAGAAGAACACUUUCAAUAAAGAUAUCUAAAUCCUAUCCCCUGUAUAUAUCAGACCUCCCCAUCUUUAGAUGGAAGAGAUUAUGCUAAUAUGAGUAAUAUGAAAAAUUUCUCCUGGCAUCUGUGUAGCUAAGAACGGAAAAACCACUUAAACUUAACGGUCCCAAAUAAGAGGGUAAUUAAAAACAAAGAGAAUACUAGAAAGACCUUUACAUCAAACCGUUAACCCCACACUGGCAUGCUAUUAAAGGAAAGAUAUAAAGAAUAAGAAGGAACUCGGCAAAUAUUAACUCAUAAGCCUCGCCUGUUUACCAAAAACAUCGCUUCUUGUUUCUCAAAAAUAAGAAGUCCCNCCUGCCCUGUGAUAAAUUUAACGGCCGCGGUAUUUUGACCGUGCAAAGGUAGCGCAAUCACUUGUCUUUUAAAUGAAGACCCGUAUGAAUGGCAUAACGAGGGCUUAACUGUCUCCUUUUUCCUAUCAAUGAAAUUGAUCUCCUCGUGCAGAAGCGAGGAUAUAACCAUAAGACGAGAAGACCCUGUGGAUCUUUAGUCCUAAGAACAGAACAUAGUUAAAUUACUUGAUUAUAAGUCAAGACUUAUUGAAGCCUGCUCUAGCGACUUUGGUUGGGGCGACCGCGGAGUAACAUAAAACCUCCAUGAUGAAAGAAGAUAAUUCUUCUAAUCCCAGAGCGACAGUUCUAAGAAGUAGAAUCUCUAACCUUCUGAUCCGGUAAUACCGAUCUACGAAAUGAGUUACCCCAGGGNAUAACAGCGCAAUCCUCUUUUAGAGCCCAUAUCGACAAGAGGGUUUACGACCUCGAUGUUGGAUCAAGGUAUCCUAAUGGUGCAACAACUAUUAAGGGUUCGUUUGUUCAACGAUUAAAACCUUACGUGAUCUGAGUUCAGACCGGAGUAAUCCAGGUCAGUUUCUAUCUAUGAAAUAUUUUACCCUAGUACGAAAGGACCGGGUAAAAAAGGCCAAUGAUAUAAUCAAGCCUUCUUCUUAACUGAUGAAAACAUAUAAAGCAGAUAAAAGAACAUGUUUUGAGGGAGAAGAUAAUUCCAU